rnacentral:rRNA from 1 species
UAACCUGCUAAAUAGUUACGUUAACUUUGGUUGACGGUUGACUUCUUAGAGGGACUAUUGAUGUUUAAUCAAUGGAAGUUUGAGGCAAUAACAGGACUGUGAUGCCCUUAGAUGUCCUGGGCCGCACGCGCGCUACACUGAUGAAGGCAACAAGUAAUUCACCUUGGCCGGAAGGUCUGGGUAAUCUUUUGAAACUUCAUCGUGCUGGGGAUAGAGCAUUGCAAUUAUUGCUCUUCAACGAGGAAUUCCUAGUAAGCGUGAGUCAUCAGCUCGCGUUGAUUACGUCCCUGCCCUUUGUACACACCGCCCGUCGCU